rnacentral:lncRNA from 1 species
UUUGUUAAUCCAGCUCCUGAUACAGGGGAUAUUAGUUAAGACUAACUGCUUUGGUUGCCAGGUAAAGAAAUUCUACUUUGUCAGGAACAGGCAGGAGUCAAUAUACUGUGGUCCACGGCCAAAUUGAUCUUGCCACCUGUUUUUGUAAAUGAAGUUUAAUUGCAACACAGCCAUAUCCAUCAUUGGAGCUUAAUAGUUGCACCCAAACUGUAUGUUCCAUAAAAACCUAAAAUAUUUGCCAUCUAGCCCUUUACAGAAGAUGCUUACUGACCUUGGACUAAAACAGAACAGUAAAGUUCAUCAGUGUUCACGUGUUUUCAGGUGUUCAGACAGUGUCAUCCGGACUCUGCCUCUGCAUCUUUCAGUUCUGCUUCAACAUCGGCUCCUGCUUCAGUAGGCUGUGAAUGUGCUACACUGAGACAACAUUACCGUAUCCAUUUAGAAUCGAAAGGGAGUAAAGGUUGUCCAACAUUUUUAGCAAAGUUCAUGGAAGUCACUCUCUGUACUGAGUUCUGGAUUUCAUGGCGUCUGUGGAGUUAUAGGUGGAAUAAAGUCAUUCGGACUGAGGAUUUGGAGUCUCCAAAGGAAAAUCAUGACUUCUCCAUUUGGCGAGCUGUCAUUUUGACAGGGGUUAACACCAAAGAUCAUCUUUCCGGAGGGCCAUUUUACUGGCAAGCUUGAAGACAGCUGUGGUGGGAUUUGCUUCACAUUAAACCCAGUUUAGAGGAGAAUGCAGAGUCCCCCAGGUAUGCUGUUAAAGCAGGGCAUGCCAAAGUAAUAUCUUGCUUGGUUGCCACUUUGAACUGCUUUCUCUUUAUAUUGUUGAAGCAGAUUUUUUUCCCUCCGCCAUUAAAGGUAUUAAUUGUAAGUGCUUGAGAAGCACUUGUCACAAAGCACCUCUGCUCCUACUCCCAUUUAUUUAGUUGUAGCUUUCAAAACAUAGAGAAAUAACUGUUUUUUUGUUUUUAUAUAACAGCACUUUAAAAUGUUUCUUUUAUGCUGUUCCUAAACAAUGUCAUAAAGUCAUCUCCAUUAGAGAUCUUUCUGCUUAUUUCAAACAUCAAAAAUUACCCAUAUGUGUUGAAUAAUUUUCACACUAUAUGAAAGCUUCACGUUUCCGUACAAUUUUUCCCAAUCUAGAAUUUUGAAUCUACAUGGUUUAAGUAGCCCAGACCUUUGGUACCCAGAUAUGGAUGAAUUAAUCAUCAAUGACUAAUACAUAUUUUAUAUAGUUUGAAUUUUAUUAAUUUGUAUAAUGAAGGGAACUUCAGCCUGUUGUAUUCCAUGGGAAAUCAAUCAUCUUAUGUACAGUGUUUACUUCCCAGCUUUGCAACUAUAGUGGCUGGAAAUGAUAAAGUAGUUCCCAGAAUUUCAGUGUUAAUUACAGUGUAGUACAUCAUUG